GGGGGUGUAGCUCAGUGGUAGAGCGCAUGCUUAGCAUGCACAAGGUCCUGGGUUCAAUUCCCAGUUCCUCCA
rnacentral:tRNA from 1 species